AUAAAGACUGAGCUAUAUCAGCACAAGGUACAGUAAACACUAAAAGCAGUAAACAGACAGUUGUCUCCCAUACUAUAAUAAAGACUGAGCUAUAUCAGCACAAGGUACAGUAAACACUAAAAGCAGUAAACAGACAGUUGUCUCCCAUACUAUAAUAAAGACUGAGCUAUAUCAGCACAAGGUACAGUAAACACUAAAAGCAGUAAACAGACAGUUGUCUCCCAUACUAUAAUAAAGACUGAGCUAUAUCAGCACAAGGUACAGUAAACACUAAAAGCAGUAAACAGACAGUUGUCUCCCAUACUAUAAUAAAGACUGAGCUAUAUCAGCACAAGGUACAGUAAACACUAAAAGCAGUAAACAGACAGUUGUCUCCCAUACUAUAAUAAAGACUGAGCUAUAUCAGCACAAGGUACAGUAAACACUAAAAGCAGUAAACAGACAGUUGUCUCCCAUACUAUAAUAAAGACUGAGCUAUAUCAGCACAAGGUACAGUAAACACUAAAAGCAGUAAACAGACAGUUGUCUCUCAUACUAUAAUAAAGACU